AGCUCAGCAGGUAGAGCACAUCCCUUUUAAGGAUGGGAUCCUGAGUUCGAGCCUCAGA
rnacentral:tRNA from 1 species